rnacentral:misc_RNA from 1 species
AAGUCGUAACAAGGUUUCCGUAGGUGAACCUGCGGAAGGAUCAUUAAUGGAAUAGACUUGGUGGAUUGUAGCUGGCCCUCUUGGGGGCAUGUGCACGUCCAUCAUCUUUAUCUUUCCACCUGUGCACCUUUUGUAGACCUGGAUGCGAAUAUCCAAUUUCUGAGGUCAACUCAGUCGUGAGGUCUGUCGGCGUCGCAAGAUAUCGACUUUCCUUGUAGUGUCCAUGGUCUAUGUAUUUCAUACACACUGUAACGAGUAAUAGAAUGUUGUUUUAAAGGUCUUUGAACCUAUAAAAGCUAUACAACUUUCAGCAACGGAUCUCUUGGCUCUC